rnacentral:lncRNA from 1 species
ACACCACAACAAUGCCAUUUUUUAGGGGUAUUACCGUCAAAUUUUAUCAGUUUCAAUUAACCGUUAAUGAGGGGUUAAAAAAACAAGAUUACGAAAGAGAUACACUUACUGCACCGAAACAGAGGCCAGGGACCAAACCCCUGUGGAGAAAACCGUACGAGAGAAGAGCGAUCGCAGGGACAGCGUUAACUAUCGCGAAAACAUCGUUAAGCUCGAAUGGUCCCUCCCUUGGUCGGUGGUGCGACUGCAAGGUAACAAUUUCAGUUCAUGUUUGAUUCAAUAAGAAUUUUCAUUAACACCAACUUUGAUUUUCUUGCUAAUUUAUUGAAUCGAGGCAUAUAGAAUAAUUGAAGAAAGCAAGUAAACCUGGUGCAUGUGCCACAAGGAAGCAUGCCAAAGUGCUCUAUGAGCCCAUCUUGCCCAGAAUUCCAUAGCCACCUGAAAAUUUGACAUGCCCAAUUCAUUUCAACGUCUUCAAUUGAAUUACCC